rnacentral:rRNA from 1 species
GACGAACGCUGGCGGCGUGCUUAACACAUGCAAGUCGAACGGAAAGGCCUCUUUCGGGGGGUACUCGAGUGGCGAACGGGUGAGUAACACGUGAGUAACCUGCCCUUGACUUUGGGAUAACUUCAGGAAACUGGGGCUAAUACCGGAUAGGAGCUCCUGCUGCAUGGUGGGGGUUGGAAAGUUUCGGCGGUUGGGGAUGGAAUCGCGGCUUAUCAGCUUGUUGGUGGGGUAGUGGCUUACCAAGGCUUUGACGGGUAGCCGGCCUGAGAGGGUGACCGGCCACAUUGGGACUGAGAUACGGCCCAGACUCCUACGGGAGGCAGCAGUGGGGAAUAUUGCACAAUGGGUGGAAGCCUGAUGCAGCAACGCCGUGUGCGGGAUGACGGCCUUCGGGUUGUAAACCGCUUUCGCUCAUGACGAAGCUUUGUGUGACGGUAGUGGGUAAAGAAGCACCGGCUAACUACGUG